rnacentral:misc_RNA from 1 species
GAUGAAGAACGCAGCGAAAUGCGAUAAGUAAUGUGAAUUGCAGAAUUCAGUGAAUCAUCGAAUCUUUGAACGCACAUUGCGCCCGCCAGUAUUCUGGCGGGCAUGCCUGUUCGAGCGUCAUUUCAACCAUCAAGCCCCAGGCUUGUGUUGGGGGCCUGCAGCUGCUGCAGCCCCCUAAAAGCAGUGGCGGACUCGCUGUCAUACCGAGCGCAGUGGUUACAUCUCGCUCUGGGCAUGGCGGCGGGCACCUGCCGUAAAACACUCUUUCUAAGGUUGACCUCGGAUCAGGUAGGAAUACCCGCUGAACUUAAGCAUAUCAAUAAGCGGAGGA